rnacentral:rRNA from 1 species
GACGAACGCUGGCGGUGUGCUUAACACAUGCAAGUCGAACGAAGUGGCGCACGGGUGAGUAACGCGUAAUCAACCUGCCCUUCAGAGGGGGACAACAGUAGGAAACGACUGCUAAUACAGCAUACUGAAGGAGGGGCAUGCGUCGGAUGAGCUAGUUGGAGGGGUAACGGCCCAACAAGGCGAUGAUCAGGAGCCGGUCGGAGAGGAUGAACGGCCACAUUGGGACUGGGACACGGCCCAGACUCCUACGGGAGGCAGCAGUGGGGAAUCUUCCGCAAUGGACGAAAGUCUGACGGAGCAACGCCGCGUGAGUGAUGACGGCCUUCGGGUUGUAAAGCUCUGUUAAUCGGGACGCGGUACCGGAAUAGAAAGCCACGGCUAACUACGUGCCAGCAGCCGCGGUAAUAC